CUGCAUCUCUUUGACAGGCCUGGGGCAGUUCCAUCUGCUUUCGUGGCUCCCACUAAGAUGCAAGAAAAAAUUCCUCGCGCUUUCUGCCUGCUUGAUCUGUGGCAGUCCAGAUUGAAUAGAGGAAGACAAGU